rnacentral:rRNA from 1 species
AACGAACGCUGGCGGCAUGCCUAACACAUGCAAGUCGAACGAGACCUUCGGGUCUAUUGGCGCACGGGUGCGUAACGCGUGGGAACCUGCCCUUAGGUUCGGAAUAACUCCCCGAAUGGGGUGCUAAUACCGGAUAAUGUCUUCGGACCAAAGAUUUAUCGACUUUGGAUGGGCCCGCGUUGGAUUAGCUAGUUGGUAGGGUAAAAGCCUACCAAGGCGACGAUCCAUAGCUGGUCUGAGAGGAUGAUCAGCCACACUGGGACUGAGACACGGCCCAGACUCCUACGGGAGGCAGCAGUGGGGAAUAGUGGAACAUGGGCGGAAUGCUGAUCGAGCAAUGACGCGUGAGUGAUGAAGGCCUUAGGGUUGUAAAGCUCUUUUACCCGGGAUGAUAAUGACGGUACCGGGAGAAUAAGCUCCGGCUAACUCCGUG